UCAGCAUGGAACACUUCCCCAUAAAUGAAGCCAUAAAGACCAAGCCUGUUUUAAAAUGUCCAAAUACUACCAUCUCUCUGUUUUCUUGAAGACCUAACAAUUGUGUUAACUCCCACCCAGCCGAAUCAGACUAAGCUAUUUUGCAUGAUGCCAAAUCCUGGGAUGGUAACACAAUGGAGGGAGUGUAGCAGCAUACCAAGCAGCCACCCCGGCCUACCAAGUGGCCAAUAAAGCAUCCUACCAGGAGGCCUACCAAGAGCCGUACCAUAUGGUCUACUAAAUGGCCUGCCAAUCGGCUACCUGCAGGCUGGCUCCCUGCUACCCCCUUCACAGGCUACCAGCUACACCCCGCCAAGGUGCUCUCCUUCUAGUGGUCCUGGCAGUGUUGUGCAGACUCGGGACAACUGAGCUUUGGAGAAAUACGCAGAUUUAAAGAGGAGUCUAAUGAUCAUGACCUUUUCGUCAAAGAAGUGUGCUCUUCAAGGAUGAAUUGUGGUUUCAACUGUACCGAGAAGAUGCUAGACAGUGUGUUUGGCCUUGUGUGGGUGAGCGGUUUGCUGAUGUCAACAUUGUGAACAGAGUGCCCCAUAGUGGUGGUGUGGUUAUGGUAUGGGCAGGCAUAAACUAUGGACAAUCUAUGGAUUUCCAGUUAUGUGAAAUCCAUAGAUCAGGGCCUAAUUCAUGUUAUUUCUAUGAACUGAUAUCCUUAUAUGAACUGUAACUGAGUAAAAUCUUUGAAAUUGUU